rnacentral:tRNA from 1 species
AUUGGAGAAGUUAAAGAGGUCUAACAAAGAGUCUAAAAUUCUUGAGAUGGGGGUUCGAUUCCUUCCUUCAGUG